GCUCACAGUUAUGGGAAACAUUCACUAGAAGCUUAUUUCUGAUUCCCCCAAAUUUCUAGAAUUACAUUGUGUUAUGAGACACAGCUACUUAAAGAUUCUUUCCUUUUCAAUAGGAUUUUCAGCAAUUUAAAAAAAAAUCUAAUGCUGUUUAUAUUUUAUUCACAGAGACUAAUAUUCAUAUUAGAUCUCUUUUAUGUUCAAAUACUUCAGGGGAUAAAACAGAACUAAGUUUUGAACUACAGAACUAGAUUUAGAAUAUAAAAAUGCACCUCUUUAUUAUGAAGUGAUUGCUAGGAGAGCACUGGAAGGAAACCCAAAUAACAAUUCUUCGUUUUCUAUAUUCCAAAAUAGCCUCACUCCUCUGUUUUUUAUAUGAACAUGAAACAUUGCUUUGGGCUCCUCACUUGUAUUCUGUGUUUCAGGUCAAUGCAUUUUGAAGCAGAUGGAGCAGUAAUUCAUGAAAAAUAGUGUUUAGGAAAGAAAAGGGAAAAAGGGGGAACACCACAGCUGCCAGAUCCCAGACUUGACACCCCUCCUCUGUGCAUUUCCUGAUUCUUCCUCCAUCUAAUGGAUCAAAUAUUUGAAAUGAUUUGGAAUCUGAAGUGUGGACGUGCAGAACUUUUUGGGACAGAUGUGUUAGUGACAGGAUGAAGCUGUGAGGGACAAACGAUGGGUGCAGCACUCUCUGUCUUCGUGGGAAGGCUGGGUGGGACAGGCACCUCAAGGAGCAGUUUUAAGGAAGCUCUGCAGAACCAUGUCCUGAGAGUACAGAGCACCUGCAGACACCACCAGCUGUGCUUCUCCUGGCUUUGGCAGGGAACUGCUCCUGGCUACGUUUGGCCUCAACUGCACAAUGUAUUUACUGGGGUAAAAAGAAGAGGAUGACAAUUUUCACUGGAGUACACCUGCAAUAAUGGCUCACAGCAUUUAAUUCUUCCCUUGGUUUCCUGGUAGUCUUUGUUUUGACACCUGCAAACAACCUUUUCCAAAUCAAAGAGAGCUUUUUCUCUCCAUGUCAUGCUGCCACCCAAGUCGAGCUGACAAAGUCCAACUAGGAACAGAGCAAUUAUAAACACAGUUUCCUCUGGUGCUUGUGCUGUUUUUAGCUUUGUUGCUUUCCCAAAAAGAAACCUGUGCCUAAUGUCUCCAUCUUUGCAUGCAAAAUUAAUAAAAUCUGACAAUUACACUGAACAACAUACAAUGCAAGUUAAAGGAUCCUUUCUGAUGUGAUUGAACCUGAAGAUAUUAAAUUGGCUCCUUCAUCUUACACUAUUUUCUGGUUUAGCACAAAGAUCAUAAAAAGUGGAUCUGGAGUGAUAAACGAUAAUUGGCUCUAGGCAGCCUUUUCUCACAGAGACAAAAGAACAGUUGUUAUUGCUAUACUCCUUUCAAUAAAUACACUUGUAAGCUGCAGCUCAGCUGGGCUGCCCUGGGAAGAGGCAGCCAUUCAUGAGAAACAUAAAAGAGAUCAGAUUUAUAAGUGGGCAUGUAGACUGAGGAGAAAGGUAUUUUAUAUAUUAAGAACAUAUAAAGAGUAUUAUCUGUGCUCACACAGUGCCAGGAAUUAUCUUACCAGGAGAAAUGCAGUCUGAAAUUAAUCCUGUACCAUGCUAGAGAAAACCAUGGGUUUAGCAUGGAUAUAAAUCAGGUCCUGAUUCAGUCUGUGGAGGGAGUGGGAAUUAAUUCCUUAUUCCUAGAAGACUGGCUGAUGCUACUUGGGCUCACUUUUGGAUUUCAAGUCUUAAACCACAAUGUUUCCAUUUGUUCCCUUGUUUUCCAUUUGUUUUCAUGGGAAGGAUUUACUUCAUUUUCAAUAUAUUGAUCAUUAAACCUCAUCAGCCAACUUCCUUCUCUGCUCCUUGAAGUGUCUCAUGUGUCUGACAGUGACAUUCUCCAGGAUUUUUGACAGCACAGGAGUAAAAUGCUUAAUUUAAGGACAAAUAGAUUUUUUUAUUGUUUUGCUUUCCUUUGUAUAACCAAGAAU